GAUACCCCAAGAAGAAACUGACUCCCGGAGCUUGGAUUCCUUGGACGUGUCUCCGGUGCCUCCACGCUUGGGUUGCCCGGCCUCUUAGCGCUCCAGCCUCGCGAGUCUAGCCGGAAAUGGCCAAUUGGUUUGCGGUCGGGUAUUGGGCCUCAGCCCCGGAGGCUGGCGGGCACACGAGCCCGCUGGUGGGCAGAGGGAAUGUGCCCAGACUCCUGUGGCCGGCCCGAGCCACUGCUGCGCUUGCUGGAGCCCCAAGCAAUCUAGCCCGGCUCCCUCCUCCUGCUCUUUGUCACUGUCCCGCCCUGUCUCUUUCAGGGGGUGUCCCAGCCCGUGGCUGCUUGGCCAGAAAGCUCGUAUAGUGUGCCAUGGCCUGGGAAAUAUUCGUGCCUGCGGGCGCCGAGCUGUUGCUUUAGUUUCUUUCGCUAUCACAGUCCCCUCCGAAGGCCGAGGGUCGCUACUAAAUAAACGCCUGUGCGCCUUGCACCCGCAUCUUUUGCACUUUUAAACUGGGGUGUGUCAGCCUCCCCAAAUCCGGGAUCCCCGUCCGGAAGGAGGAAACCCGGCUGAAUGCUUCGGAUCUGACUCGGAUUUCAGGAUCACAGAGCCUCACGGAGUCAGAAUAGAAUUCCAACCAAGCAAGCAUAUGCAGGGGCAAGAGAUGGGCUGAAAUAUUGUAGGGAAGCUGGAGCUUGACAGAGAAGAAGAGGAUUGAUCAAAAGGUGUACCUGUGACUCAAAGCAGGACUUGCUGGAGCUGGAGUCUGGGGAUGGGCAAGCCUCAUCUUCCCUAAGAAAAAGCCAUAGCUAUAGAGGGCUGGAAGAAUCCAGUGAUUGGAGCAAAAAUAAACCUGGGACUUGUCAAUUCUCUAGAGCCAUGAGCCACCUAUGGAUAUACACAAUUCGAGUGAACUUCGUGGAAUCCCUUCAAGUCUCAUCUUAGAACGCAAUGCCUUUCCAAAUUGCCUCUCCUCCCAACCCAUUCCAGAAGGAAAAACAACUUCAAGUAUCCUGGGUUCCAGCCUCUGCUCUGCCAAUUAACUACUACUUUAACCUUGAACAAGUUCCCUGCCAAAGAAACCAGAAAGGAGGUAAGGUCAUCGCAGUUUUUGGCUACUGUGGGAGGAUGAGGAUGGAUGGAUUGAUAGAGUGAAAAUGACUGGAAGAGCAGCAGAGGUUGAAAUCCAAUCUUAGAGAACACCUACCAUGGACAAUUCAAUUCAAUUCACAUUUAUUAAGCUCCCACUAUAUGCCAGGAACCAUAUUAAGUGCUGAGAGUACCCUGACUGGGAAGGACCUCUAUCCCUUCUUUUCUUUUCUUUCUUUAAUUCCUUAAACAUUAAAAAAAAAAAAGUUUUAUUUUAAUUUAUGAAAUAAAAUAAACAUUUCCAUAAUAUAGGACAAUAAAAAGAUUAUUGCACACGAAACUAUAAUUCUAUUAUGUACA